UACAGAGGUCUCAAGCGUUGUUCGGAUUCAUUGGGCGUAAAGGGUGCGUAGGUGGGCAGGUAAGUCCGUGGUGAAAUCUCUGAGCUUAACUCAGAAACUGCCGUGGAUACUAUUUGUCUUGAAUGUUGUGGAGGUGAGCGGAAUAUGUCAUGUAGCGGUGAAAAUGCUUAGAUAUGACAUAGAACACCAAUUGCGAAGGCAGCUCACUACACAAUUAUUGACGCUGAGGCACGAAAAGCGUGGGGGAUCAAACAGG
rnacentral:rRNA from 1 species